GAUGAACGCUGGCGGCGUGCCUAAUACAUGCAAGUCGAGCGAACAGAUAAGGAGCUUGCUCCUUUGACGUUAGCGGCGGACGGGUGAGUAACACGUGGGUAACCUACCUAUAAGACUGGAAUAACUCCGGGAAACCGGGGCUAAUGCCGGAUAACAUGUUGAACCGCAUGGUUCUACAGUGAAAGGCGGCUUUGCUGUCACUUAUAGAUGGACCCGCGCCGUAUUAGCUAGUUGGUGAGGUAACGGCUCACCAAGGCAACGAUACGUAGCCGACCUGAGAGGGUGAUCGGCCACACUGGAACUGAGACACGGUCCAGACUCCUACGGGAGGCAGCAGUAGGGAUUCUUCCGCAAUGGGCGAAAGCCUGACGGAGCAACGCCGCGUGAGUGAUGAAGGUCUUCGGAUCGUAAAACUCUGUUAUUAGGGAAGAACAAAUGCGUAAGUAACUGUGCGCGUCUUGACGGUACCUAAGCAGAAAGCCACGGCUAACUACGU
rnacentral:rRNA from 1 species